rnacentral:misc_RNA from 1 species
GUUUGAGGAGCGCAGCACACAAGUCAAGGAAAAGAAGCUGGGGCCCGUCUACUCUUUGUAGAUCAAGAAGGUAUUUUUCUUCUCUCGUCUUGUAAAGCUGUACUUCAAACUUAACGACGACAUUCGACUUUCCUAGAGCACCAAAGUUUUCUACAAUGACAGAAUCAUCAGCAGGUACAUUAAUAUCAGGAAUACUUUCAGGAGGUCUAGGAAACCAUCUGCAUUUCAUGUUAUAGUGCCCAAUCUUCUUCCAGCAAACACCCAAUUCUUGCAGGGCUUUAAGGACCUCCAUCAUUAUUUCACGAGGAUGAGCUUUAGACUGGAGCCCAAGAGCCCAUUUUCUUUCAA